rnacentral:RNase_P_RNA from 1 species
GGAGUCGGCCAGGCAGUCGCGUCACUCGCAUCACUCCGGUGAAGGCGGGUGCCGAGGAAAGUCCGGGCUCCACAGGGCACGGUGCCAGGUAACGCCUGGGCGGCGCGAGCUGACGGAAAGUGCAACAGAAAGAUACCGCCGAUGGCUCUUCGGAGAUCAGGCAAGGGUGAAAUGGUGCGGUAAGAGCGCACCGCGAGCCUGGCAACAGGCCGGCACGGCAAACCCCACCGGGAGCAAGACCAAAUAGGGACCUCAUGACGCGGCCCGCGUCGGGUCCG